GUGUCAGCAGCCGCGGUAAUACGAAGGGGGCUAGCGUUGCUCGGAAUGACUGGGCGUAAAGGGCGCGUAGGCGGAACAUACAGUCAGAUGUGAAAUUCCCGGGCUCAACCUGGGGACUGCAUUUGAUACGUGUGAUCUAGAGUGAGGAAGAGGGUCGUGGAAUUCCCAGUGUAGAGGUGAAAUUCGUAGAUAUUGGGAAGAACACCGGUGGCGAAGGCGGCGACCUGGUCCUUUACUGACGCUGAGGCGCGAAAGCGUGGGGAGCAAACAGGAUUAGAUACCCGCGUAGUCC
rnacentral:rRNA from 1 species